GGUUAAGCGACUAAGCGUACACGGUGGAUGCCCUGGCAGUCAGAGGCGAUGAAGGACGUGCUAAUCUGCGAUAAGCGUCGGUAAGGUGAUAUGAACCGUUAUAACCGGCGAUUUCCGAAUGGGGAAACCCAGUGUGUUUCGACACACUAUCAUUAACUGAAUCCAUAGGUUAAUGAGGCGAACCGGGGGAACUGAAACAUCUAAGUACCCCGAGGAAAAGAAAUCAACCGAGAUUCCCCCAGUAGCGGCGAGCGAACGGGGAGCAGCCCAGAGCCUGAAUCAGUGUGUGUGUUAGUGGAAGCGUCUGGAAAGGCGCGCGAUACAGGGUGACAGCCCCGUACACAAAAAUGCACAUGCUGUGAGCUCGAUGAGUAGGGCGGGACACGUGGUAUCCUGUCUGAAUAUGGGGGGACCAUCCUCCAAGGCUAAAUACUCCUGACUGACCGAUAGUGAACCAGUACCGUGAGGGAAAGGCGAAAAGAACCCCGGCGAGGGGAGUGAAAAAGAACCUGAAACCGUGUACGUACAAGCAGUGGGAGCCUCUUUAUGGGGUGACUGCGUACCUUUUGUAUAAUGGGUCAGCGACUUAUAUUCUGUAGCAAGGUUAACCGAAUAGGGGAG
rnacentral:rRNA from 1 species